CAGCACAAUGUCAGAAUGGUUGUGUAAUGGCGCCCUCCUCAGGACGAAAUAAUGUUUUUCAAUUCCGGUUUAUCAAAAAUGCACAGAAUUCAAACAAACAACUUGUUGACUAUGAUUUUGUUUUGGAGUUUGUUGAACAACCAUCCAUAUGUGUGGAACCUCAAGAUGAGCAACGAAUCGUCAGAGAGCGAUGUGGACGUUACUAUUUAGAGGCUGAAAAUAAAAUAUCUGGAGAGGAAACGGGUUAGUUUGCCUGCUUAGCUUUAUUAUUUAGCUAGCUGGAUCACUCGUUACCAAGGGAACAAGCAAAACUAGCUAUCUAGUUAUAUAGACAUACUACUAGGUUUUGCACGUACAUGCAGUGACUGAACAUGCCAUAGCUAACUAUUAAGCUAACUAUUGGCAUAUGAUCGCUAAGUAUCUACAGAGCAGAAAGCAGCUGGGCUGAGUGGAAGACACUAACAUGUUGAGCAGCAGAGAGUGGUGAAGUCCCCCAGGUCUAGACGAACCACCAGGAAGAUGAGAGGUUACAACGGAGCUGUUCCAGGCUGUCACCAACGCAGGGGGAGAGAGGUGUUGCCUCUGUUGGUAGAGCAGCUGCAGCAGGUCUCUGCAUCAUCAUACCCCUCUGUCACCCUGUCCCUGAUCAAGUUUAUAUAAUGGAGCCUGAGAGAGAUAGACAACAGCACACAGCCCGUGGCUCUGUCAUCCACUCUGCGCCGUCUGGUGAAGAGGUAUCCAGGGCUCCGACCCAGCAGCAGGACCCCAGCAGCCCCCCUUUCCAUUAAUCAAACAACCAACCAAUCACUUUUUAUUUGUAUCAUGCUUUUCAAAAAUACAUUGGUAAGCAAGUUUAUAGCAGCAACCCAGACCUAAACCCCACAGGGCAAGCUCUCUGCCAGGUUGGCUCAGUUCUAUAUCUGAAUGGACAUUAAAUUGGUUUGUUCAUAUUGGAAGAAUAUUUCUUCAAAAUGAUGUUAUCAUGUCAGACAACGGUAUCUGGCCCAAAAAGCUUUUAAACAUUUCUGAACUAAUAAAAAAACUGUCUGCAUCAGAGCCGUAUAAUAUCUCUCGCCACAUUUUGCUUACGAUGUUUUCUGGAAACGCAGACCCAUAAAUUGGUUUGGACCAGAGAGAGAGAGGCAGGCAGGCUUUGGGUCAGGGGGUUUCUGGUGUUCCCUGGUGUAACCCUCCAGCCCAGUCCCCCACCCCCCUGGCCAAGCCAGUCACAGACUGCACAGUCCUGUGUGUCUGGAGAGCAUCAGUGACACAGGCCUCAUAAACAUGUCUUCUCCGAAACCAUGGCCCAGUUUCCCAAAAGCAUCUUAAGGCUAAGUUCAUCCUUUGUUUCUGAAGUUGCACUUGAAAGCGCUUGUUAUUUACCAACUGCCUCAGACCACUCCGAGAUCAGCUAAGUGCAUCGUUAGAUCUAUUUCCC